GACGAACGCUGGCGGCGUGCUUAACACAUGCAAGUCGAACGAAGUGGCGAACGGGUGAGUAACGCGUAAUCAACCUGCCCUUCAGAGGGGGACAACAGUGGGAAACGACUGCUAAUACCGCAUACUGAAGGAGGGGAUGGCGUCUGAUUAGCUAGUUGGGGGGGUGACGGCCCGCCCAGGCGAGUAUGAGUAGCCGGGCUGGGAGGAUGAACGGCCACAUUGGGACUCGGACACGGCCCAGACUCCUAAGGGAGGCAGCAGUGGGGAAUCUUCCGAAAUGGACGAAAGUCUGACUGAGCGACGCCGCGGGAGUGAUGACGGCCUUCGGGUUGUAAAGCUCUGUUAAUCGGGACGCGGUACCGGAAUAGAAAGCCACGGCUAACUACGUGCCAGCAGCCGCGGUAAUAC
rnacentral:rRNA from 1 species